rnacentral:tRNA from 1 species
GCCCAGUUAGCUCAGUUGGUAGAGCAAAGGACUGAAAAUCCUUGUGUCUUUGGUUCGAUUCCGAAACUGGGCA